CGGUCUUCCUUUCACAUCAACGCUGGACAGCGAAAACUAAAAGCGAACGAGUAGUGAAGUGACUGUCAGAGAGUCAGCACGCUGCUGACUAGAGCGAAAUCGGCCUUCAGUGCAAAAACGGUCAAUCGCAACCGGAAAAACCAUCUGCUUGCACGGCAUAGUGCAACAAAUCCGCACAAGGUGAGUCUAAAGCCUGAACAUGACAAUCAUCACCACAUGCUAAGGUGUAAUCCCGCAAUUAUUAGACCAUCGCCAUACUGAGCCGGCGGCACACAAUUUCCCCAAUCCACGAAGAACACACGUGCACCAUCCGGAAUAAAGCGCCGAAGCAGCUCCAAACCAGUUCGGAACAGAGAAAGGACUAGCUCCAACAAGCGACAGAGCCAGUCGGAACAGUCCGAAUUAGAAUCGCGUCUCGUGCAUGCGGCACCCGACACAGGAAGGAUUCCGGGUAUCACGCAGUCCACCAGUUGCCCAAAAUUGGACACCACCGCACUGUAUUGCAAUAAAAAACAUCGGUGAGUAAUGCCCGGCAACAAUGAGAGAUGCGAAUUAACGAGAUGCUUUUCUGUCAAAUUCAGUCAGGUCAAAAGGGCACGUAAAUAAUCCCCGAAGAAGGCCGACACUCUCCAGAUUGGCAUCCGGUUGCCCUCAUAAGCUGUGUGGAAUCGAAAAGCCUUCGUUACGAAGUGAGUAACUACUCUCACACACCUGGUGAUACAUGGAGACUAAAAUGUGCACGCAUCAGGGCUUUUCUUUUUUGUUUCACAGCCUGCGACCUUUCGUAGCGGAGACAUCUCGGACGGUAGGGAGUUUUGGUUGGUGCAGAAUUGAGCGCGACGGAUCGGAGCAAGCGUUUACCACUGUGCGAAGCGCGACAGUAGCUUGGGACCGAUAGGGAAGGACCACUUCUUCCGGCUCAGAGGCCGCCAGCCAAGAUAGGAAGUACUCCGAGCAGCGGCGUCGCACGUAAGAGACCGGAGCAAGCGUUCACCGGCGUGUGAAGCUUGGAGCGCUUUGGAAAGGACCAUUUCUUCCGGUUCAGAGGCCGCCUGUCAGGAUAGACUAUCACUCCAAGGAGCGAGGCGCCACCGCCGCAAUUUCGCUGGCGACCUCCUUUGAAGAUUUGCCCGAGCAGCGUCACACUCGUUUCUGGCCCACGCCCAGAGACAUGGAUGCCUCAAGGAAGCAGCGAGAAAGCAGGGUGCACCCAUGCAGGCGCGCGUGAGU